rnacentral:tRNA from 2 species
GCCGAAGUGGCGGAAUGGUAGACGCGCCGGUCUCAAAAACCGGUGGGGGCAACCCCGUGUCGGUUCGAAUCCGACCUUCGGCACCA